rnacentral:rRNA from 1 species
UGGCGGACGGGUGAGUAAUGUCUGGGAAACUGCCCGAUGGAGGGGGAUAACUACUGGAAACGGUAGCUAAUACCGCAUAACGUCGCAAGACCAAGGAGGGGGACCUUCGGGCCUCUUGCCAUCGGAUGUGCCCAGAUGGGAUUAGCUAGUAGGUGGGGUAACGGCUCACCUAGGCGACGAUCCCUAGCUGGUCUGAGAGGAUGACCAGCCACACUGGAACUGAGACACGGUCCAG